GUCUCCGUAGCUCAGUAGGAUAGAGCGUUCGCCUCCUAAGCGAAAGGCCGCGCGUUCGAGCCGCGCCGGGGACGCCA
rnacentral:tRNA from 1 species